CCCUUAGAUGUUCUGGGCUGCACGCGCGCUACACUGAUGCAUCCAACAAGUUUUUUCCUUGUUCGAGAGGACUAGGUAAUCUUAUGAGAAUGCAUCGUGAUGGGGAUAGAUUAUUGCAAUUAUUAAUCUUCAACGAGGAAUUCCUAGUAAGCGCGAGUCAUCAGCUCGUGCUGAUUACGUCCCUGCCCUUUGUACACACCGCCCGUCGCUGCAACUGAUUGGGUGACCCGGUGAACAUCUUGGACCGGCCCACUCAAUUUCGAGAGGACUGGAAAAGGCCGUAAAUCAGGUACAUCUAGAAAUUGCAAAAGUCGUAACA
rnacentral:rRNA from 1 species